UGAGGAAUUUUGCACAAUGGGGGCAACCCUGAUGCAGCAACGCCGCGUGUGGGAAGAAGGCUUUCGGGUUGUAAACCACUUUUGCGAGGGACGAAACCCCGGGGUUGAAUACACCGUGGGGGUGACGGUACCUCGCGAAUAAGCCACGGCUAACUCUGUGCCAGCAGCCGCGGUAAGACAGGGGUGGCAAGCGUUGUUCGGAGUGACUGGGCGUAAAGGGUCUGUAGGUGGUUUUUCAAGUCUUUGGUAAAAAGCUGUGGCUCAACCACAGUGCGGCCAAGGAGACUGGGAGACUCGAGGCUGGGAGAGGGAAGCGGAAUUUCUGGUGUAGCGGUGAAAUGCGUAGAGAUCAGAAAGAAGGCCGGUGGCGAAGGCGGCUUCCUGGAACAGACCUGACACUGAGAGACGAAAGCGUGGGGAGCAAACAGG
rnacentral:rRNA from 1 species